rnacentral:rRNA from 1 species
AGUGUAGUGUAUACUUAAAAAGAAAGUGAAACCGCGGAUGGCUCAGUAUAUCAGUUAUAAUUCCCUUGAUCAUCGGCCGUAUGGUCAACGUGGCUAACCGUGGCAAUUCCAGGGCUAAUACAUGCAACAGAUCCCCGACCUUGCGGAAAGGGAGCUUUUAUUAGUUUACAAAACCAACCUUGGUUCGGCUUCAUGCCGUUUCCGAAACAUUUGUGAUGACUCUGGAUAACACGACAGAUCGCACAGCCUUCGAGCUUGGCGACGCAUCAUUCAAAUGCCUGCUCUAUCAACUAGGAUGGUCGAUUAAACGCCUACCAUGGUGUUGACGGGUAACGGGGAAUCAGGGUUCGAUUCCGGAGAGGGAGCCUGAGAAAUAGCUGCCACAUCCAAGGAAGGCAGCAGGCGCGCAAAUUACCCACUCCCAGCCCGGGGAGGUAGUGACGAAGUAUAACGAUACGGGACUCCCAUCCGAGGCCCCGUGAUCGGAAUGAGACCUGUUCAGAGAACGGGCUCGAGUAUCCAUUGGAGG